ACACUCCUGCGGGAGGCAGCAGUGGGGAAUAUUGGACAAUGGGCGCAAGCCUGAUCCAGCCAUGCCGCGUGAGUGAUGAAGGCCCUAGGGUUGUAAAGCUCUUUCACCGGUGAAGAUAAUGACGGUAACCGGAGAAGAAGCCCCGGCUAACUUCGUGCCAGCAGCCGCGGUAAUACGAAGGGGGCUAGCGUUGUUCGGAUUUACUGGGCGUAAAGCGCACGUAGGCGGACUAUUAAGUCAGGGGUGAAAUCCCGGGGCUCAACCCCGGAACUGCCUUUGAUACUGGUAGUCUUGAGUUCGAGAGAGGUGAGUGGAAUUCCGAGUGUAGAGGUGAAAUUCGUAGAUAUUCGGAGGAACACCAGUGGCGAAGGCGGCUCACUGGCUCGAUACUGACGCUGAGGUGCGAAAGCGUGGGGAGCAAACAGGAUUAGAUACCCUUGUAGUCC
rnacentral:rRNA from 1 species